UAUGGCCACAUCAUACUGAAACACUGGUUCUCAUAUGAUCACAGAAGUUAAGCAACAUUGAACUUGGUCAGUACCUAAAUGAGAGCAAGCUUGGGAAUACCAAGUUCUGCAAG